UACGUAGGGGGCAAGCGUUGUCCGGAUUUAUUGGGCGUAAAGAGCGUGUAGGCGGCCAGGUAGGUCCGUUGUGAAAACUCGAGGCUCAACCUCGAGCUGUCGAUGGAAACCAUCUGGCUAGAGUCCGGAAGAGGAGAGUGGAAUUCCCGGUGUAGCGGUGAAAUGCGCAGAUAUCGGGAAGAACACCCGUGGCGAAGGCGGCUCGCUGGGACGUGACUGACGCUGAGACGCGAAAGCGUGGGGAGCAAACAGG
rnacentral:rRNA from 1 species